GGCCGCUCGAGUUGAGCGAUUCGAAGGCGAGGCUCACCUUUGAACACGACGAGGGAAAGCAGCAGGAGCAGAACACCAGGGACGCUGCAGAGUGUCAUGGUAGUAAGUUUGGCUAGGCGUCGUGAUAUAUUCUGUGCCAGCCUAAAGAAAUAGAGAAGAAGUUACAAGUCGUAGUGAGGUGACAGCUUGGGUGAGAAGGAGCGACGCGUCACCAAAUCCUUCUCGAGCACCAGUGAAGCAGUUUGUGGAGGUGCCAGGUGGCAGGUGGGUCAGUGAUGGCGGUGGUGGUGGCGGUGGUGUGUAGGUGUGGUAUUGAUCGAAAUAUCAACAUACAUCUCCUUCGUUACGUGUUCAAUUAUCCGCAAAAAACUGUGGCUAGCUAGGGAAGGCUUUCCACUUAACAAAGGUGCCACAUAGACAGCAAGUUGUUGCGGAGGAGAGGAGCAAGUGAACUCAAAAUGAAAAGUGUUUUCCAGAGGAAGUAUGCACGCGGAGGACUUCGCUCGCCACCUCACCACCCUACAUUAUCACCCGCCUCGACCCAGCGACCCCUGCAUUAUUCAUCACGAGCAAGGUGUGGUGACUCCAUCCAAGCACUUAAGGAAGGCUGCGUCUUAGGCUGCGCAGCACAGCACCACGCCGCAGUACAGCGCCACGCCGCAGUACAGCGCCACGCCGCAAUACAGCGCCCCGCCGCAGCACAGCGCCCCGCCGCAGCACAGCGCCCCGCCGCAGCACAGCGCCACGCCGCAGCACAGCACAGCGCCACGCCGCAGCACAGCGCCACGCCGCAGCACAGCGCCACGCCGCAGCACAGCGCCACGCCGCAGCACACAUGCCGGGAGGGAGCUUCAUGACUGCCAAACGCGUAUACAGAGAUUUUCCUUCCAGCCUUGUCUCAUUCCUCGGUGUGGUGAAGACUCCGCGGAGGCGCCACUCCGCGGCACACGUAUGCAUGAUGGAUCUCCCCCGCCCUAGGGAGGCGCCGCCACUCGUGAGGCGCGCUGACGGUUUUCUGCCACCACCUGCGGCACAUAACUCUUCGUCUAUCCCGUCACCAUCUCACAUUUUUGGUCCGCGCGGGAGUUAUGCAGCGAGGAAAGUGAAAACGUGCUUGUGGUCCGCGCCACUCCGCCCAUGUCUGCUGCCACGGCACCACCCAAGCCCAAGUGGUGAAGGAAGGAAGGAAGUCAAGAAGGCAGGAAGGAAGGAAAGACUGAUGAAGUUAUCUCGUGUUACUUGACCGCCACGUGCUCCUCCUUCACCUCUCCCUCUCUCCCUCCCUUCGUCCGUGUGUUCAGCCUAGUACAGUGUCCAGGAGAGAAGCCAGCAGCACUGGUGGGGGGUGGCAGGUGCUGGCAAGUCGUCAAAUUUUCACACAUUUUCAUUGGAAGUCUGUCAGCUGCAUUUCUUCUUCCAUGACUGGGUACAAUACAUUGUAUCACCCAGAACUCUCUUCACAAAAUGCCUGGUGGUGAUGUGGGAAGCAGGAAGAAAGAGGAGAUGAGUUUGAAGACACAUGACCAAUCAAGGAAAGGUGCAAGCAUGAACACCAAGGAAUUAACAAGAACCAAGCAGUCAAGGACAUCCAACCCAGAGAAUGAGCAGUGCCAUGACAAAAGCAGCUGCCAGAGGAGUGUCACCACCACCAUCAUCUUAUGUGGCCACAGUUGAAAGAGUAGGAAGUCUCCAAAAGCAGUGGUGACAGCAUGAUGCCUUCACCACCACCAGUGAGUCAUAUGAUCAACAACUUCCCAAGUAACUGGGCACCAAGACUGCCCAGGAUAUCCAAAUUGAAGAGGGUGAGAGUGGUUCCUAAAAAACUUCUCAAAAUAGGCCUAAAAUUGUGCUUAAUCAGUGCAAAAAUGUACCAAAAGUAAGGCCCUGAAAGGCUUAAAAAGUGGUUCCUAAAAAACUUCUCAAAAUAGGCUGAAAAAUGUGCUUAAUCAGUGCAAAAAUGUACCAAAAGUAGGCCCUGAAAGGCUUAAAAAAAGUGUAAAAAUGUGCUUAAUCAGUGCAAAAAUGUACUAAAAGUAGGGCCCUGAAAGGCUUCAAAAAGUGUGCUAAGUCAUAAAUACUCCGAAGAGUCUGCGGAGAUUUUGUAAAGGAGAAAUAUUAAAUAAAAAUAAAUAUGCUUU